GAUGAACGCUAGCUACAGGCUUAACACAUGCAAGUCGAGGGGCAGCAUGACCUAGCAAUAGGUUGAUGGCGACCGGCGCACGGGUGAGUAACACGUAUCCAACCUGCCGAUUAUUCCGGGAUAGCCUUUCGAAAGAAAGAUUAAUACUGGAUAGCAUAACGAGAAGGCAUCUUCUUGUUAUUAAAGAAUUUCGAUAAUCGAUGGGGAUGCGUUCCAUUAGUUUGUUGGCGGGGUAACGGCCCACCAAGACAUCGAUGGAUAGGGGUUCUGAGAGGAAGGUCCCCCACAUUGGAACUGAGACACGGUCCAAACUCCUACGGGAGGCAGCAGUGAGGAAUAUUGGUCAAUGGACGAGAGUCUGAACCAGCCAAGUAGCGUGAAGGAUGGCUGCCCUAUGGGUUGUAAACUUCUUUUAUAGGGGAAUAAAGUGGGCCACGUGUGGCUUUUUGUAUGUACCAUACGAAUAAGGAUCGGCUAACUCCGUG
rnacentral:rRNA from 1 species